UCCAGCUCCAAUAGCGUAUAUUAAAGUUGUUGCAGUUAAAAAGCUCGUAGUUGGAUUUCUGGCAGGAGCGACCAGUCUCACACCCUGUGUGAGAACUUGUGUUGUCUCUGGCCAUCCUUGGGGAGAUCCUGUUUGGCAUUCAGUUGUCGGGCAGGGGAUACCCAUCGUUUACUGUGAAAAAAUUAGAGUGUUUAAAGCAGGCUUAUGCCGUUGAAUAUAUUAGCAUGGAAUAAUAAGAUAGGUCUUUGGUACUAUUUUGUUGGUUUGCGCACCAGAGAAAUGAUUAAUAGGGACAGUUGGGGCUAUUCGUAUUCCAUUGUCAGAGGUGAAAUUCUUGGAUU
rnacentral:rRNA from 1 species